AACGAACGCUGGCGGCAGGCUUAACACAUGCAAGUCGAACGCCCCUUACGGGGAGUGGCAGACGGGUGAGUAACGCGUGGGAAUCUACCCAUCUCUACGGAAUAACUCAGGGAAAUUUGUGCUAAUACCGUAUACGCCCUUCGGGGGAAAGAUUUAUCGGAGAUGGAUGAGCCCGCGUUGGAUUAGCUAGUUGGUGGGGUAAAGGCCUACCAAGGCGACGAUCCAUAGCUGGUCUGAGAGGAUGAUCAGCCACAUUGGGACUGAGACACGGCCCAAACUCCUACGGGAGGCAGCAGUGGGGAAUAUUGGACAAUGGGCGCAAGCCUGAUCCAGCCAUGCCGCGUGAGUGAUGAAGGCCCUAGGGUUGUAAAGCUCUUUCACCGAUGAAGAUAAUGACUGUAGUCGGAGAAGAAGCCCCGGCUAACUUCGUGCCAGCCGCCGCAGUAAUAC
rnacentral:rRNA from 1 species